rnacentral:rRNA from 1 species
UACGUAGGGUGCGAGCGUUGUCCGGAAUUAUUGGGCGUAAAGAGCUCGUAGGCGGUGUGUCACGUCGUUCGUGAAAACCUGCAGCUUAACUGUGGGCGUGCGGUCGAUACGGGCAUCACUGGAGUUCGGCAGGGGAGACUGGAAUUCCUGGUGUAGCGGUGAAAUGCGCAGAUAUCAGGAGGAACACCGGUGGCGAAGGCGGGUCUCUGGGACGAUACUGACGCUGAGGAGCGAAAGCGUGGGGAGCGAACAGG